rnacentral:rRNA from 1 species
GAUGAACGCUGGCGGCGUGCCUAAUACAUGCAAGUCGAACGAGGCCCUUUGUAUUCGUACGAAGGUGUCCUAGUGGCGAACGGGUGAGUAACACGUAGGUGACCUACCCCUAAGCGGGGGACAACUCCGGGAAACUGGAGCUAAUACCCCAUGUUCUCCAUGGUGUUAGAGGACCAUGGAGCAAAGGAGCAAUCCACUUUGGGAGGGGCCUGCGGCCCAUCAGCUAGUUGGUAGGGUAAUGGCCUACCAAGGCUAUGACGGGUAGGGGACCUGAGAGGGUGGUCCCCCACACUGACACUGAAACACGGGUCAGACACCUACGGGUGGCAGCAGUAGGGAAUAUUGCACAAUGGGCGAAAGCCUGAUGCAGCAACGCCGCGUGCGCGAUGAAGGCCUUCGGGUUGUAAAGCGCUUUUCUGGGGGAAGAGGAAGGACGGUACCCCA